rnacentral:rRNA from 1 species
AGUGAACGCUGGCGGCGUGCUUAACACAUGCAAGUCGAACGAGAACGGGAUAUAGCUUGCUAUAUUUGUCAGCUAAGUGGCGCACGGGUGAGUAAUGUAUAGAUAACCUGCCCUCUAGAAAGGAAUAACAGUUGGAAACGACUGCUAAUGCCCUAUAUGCCUUUAAUACAUAAGUAUGCAAGGGAAACGCUUUAGUGCUAGAGGAUGGGUCUGUAUGGUAUCAGCUUGUUGGUGAGGUAAUGGCUCACCAAGGCUAUGACGCCUAACUGGUUUGAGAGGAUGAUAAGUCACACUGGAACUGAGACACGGUCCAGACUCCUACGGGGGGCAGCAGUGGGGAAUAUUGCACAAUGGACGAAAGUCUGAUGCAGCAACGCCGCGUGGAGGAUGACACAUUUCGGUGCGUAAACUCCUUUUAUAUAGGAAGAUAAUGACGGUACUAUAUGAAUAAGCACCGGCUAACUACGUGCCAGCCGCCGCAGUAA